CCUACGGGAGGCAGCAGUGAGGAAUAUUGGUCAAUGGGCGUAAGCCUGAACCAGCCAAGUCGCGUGAGGGAUGAAGGUUCUAUGGAUCGUAAACCUCUUUUAUAAGGGAAUAAAGUGUGGGACGUGUCCUGUUUUGUAUGUACCUUAUGAAUAAGGAUCGGCUAACUCCGUGCCAGCAGCCGCGGUAAUACGGAGGAUCCGAGCGUUAGCCGGAUUUAUUGGGUUUAAGGGGUGCGUAGGCGGCCUUUUAAGUCAGCGGUGAAAGUCUGUGGCUCAACCAGAGAAUUGCCGUUGAAACUGGGAGGCUUGAGUAUGUUUGAGGCAGGCGGAAGGCGUGGUGUAGCGGUGAAAUGCUUAGAUAUCACGCAGAACCCCGAUUGCGAAGGCAGCCUGCCAAGCCAUGACUGACGCUGAUGCACGAAAGCGUGGGGAUCAAACAGGAUUAGAUACCCGUGUAGUC
rnacentral:rRNA from 1 species